GAUUCAACAUUAUAAAAGGGAGGUACAACAUGUACAAAAUUUUUAGUUUCGUUUCAUUAAUACUUAGUAUGCUAUGUUUUAUGGGCUUACAAGUUUUAAAUGUCAUUCAAAAAAAUGUCAUAUUAUUAUCACUAUUUGAUAGCCAAGAUUUUAACGACAUCCAUUUUUUCGGGAGUUUAUUAGUAGUA
rfam:Listeria monocytogenes EGD-e, complete genome